rnacentral:lncRNA from 1 species
AUUUGAUGACCUUCAUUUUAAACAGCUUAGUGAAGAGAGCAGGGUUGGGCUGGAGAUUUCUUUCUCUGAAGAGGAGGUCCGGGGGUGUCUUGAUGUGUGUAGCAGAGACAAAGCUCCGGGUCUUGAUGGAUUUAAUAUGAAGUUUUUCCAAGUUUUUUGAUAUGUCAUUAAGAAAGAUGUCAUGGCAGUGGUCAACGAUUUCCAUAGAUCAGG